UUCUUCUCUUAAUCUCUACACUAAUCUCUAUAAUCUCUUAAUCUUUAAUCGUUUUCAUCAUUCUACUUCAUUCUCUCUCAACCGAUUCUUCUUUGUUCUUUUCUCUGUUCUUGUUGUACUCGUGUUCUGGAUCUUGUUCUUCUCAUAAAUCUCUUGUUUCUUAAAUCUCUUUUGAAAACAAAAUGAGUUCCAGUGAUGUUAACAUCGAGAGCUCAAAAACGGUGGUCAUUCCAGUUAUCC
rnacentral:lncRNA from 1 species